rnacentral:rRNA from 1 species
GAUGAACGCUGGCGGCAUGCCUAACACAUGCAAGUCGAUCGGUAAGGCUCUUCGGAGUACACGAGAGGCGGACGGCUGAGUAACGCGUAGGAACGCACCCUGCAGUGAGGGAUAAGACACCGAAAGGUGUUCUAAUACCGCAUACGGUCUUCGGAUUAAAGCAUUUAUGCGCUGAAGGAGUGGCCUGCGUCAUAUUAGAUAGUUGGUGAGGUAAUGGCUCACCAAGUCGAUGAUGUGUAGCUGGUCUGAGAGGAUGAUCAGCCAGACUGGAACUGAGACACGGUCCAGACUCCUACGGGAGGCAGCAGUGAGGAAUAUUUCACAAUGAGCGAAAGCUUGAUGGAGCAAUGCCGCGUGCAGGAUGAAGGCCCUCGGGUUGUAAACUGCUUUUAUAAGAGAAGAUUAUGACGGUAACUUAUGAAUAAGGGACGGCUAACUACGUG